UGGGGAAUUUUGGACAAUGGGCGAAAGCCUGAUCCAGCCAUUCCGCGUGCAGGAUGAAGGCCCUCGGGUUGUAAACUGCUUUUGUACAGAACGAAAAAGCUCUGGUUAAUACCUGGAGUCCAUGACGGUACUGUAAGAAUAAGCACCGGCUAACUACGUGCCAGCAGCCGCGGUAAUACGUAGGGUGCAAGCGUUAAUCGGAAUUACUGGGCGUAAAGCGUGCGCAGGCGGUGAUGUAAGACAGUUGUGAAAUCCCCGGGCUCAACCUGGGAACUGGAUCAGUGCCUGAAUCGCUGGAGUGCGGCAGAGGGGGAUGGAAUUCCGCGUGUAGCAGUGAAAUGCGUAGAUAUGCGGAGGAACACCGAUGGAGAAGGCAAUCCCCUGGGCCUGCACUGACGCUCAUGCACGAAAGCGUGGGGAGCAAACAGG
rnacentral:rRNA from 1 species